GACGAACGCUGGCGGCGUGCUUAACACAUGCAAGUCGAACGCUGAAGCUCAGCUUUUGUUGGGUGGAUGAGUGGCGAACGGGUGAGUAACACGUGAGUAACCUGCCCCCUUCUUUGGGGUAACGCCCGGAAACGGGUGCUAAUACUGGAUAUUCACUGGUCUUCGCAUGGGGGUUGGUGGAAAGGGUUUUUCUGGUGGGGGAUGGGCUCGCGGCCUAUCAGCUUGUUGGUGGGGUGAUGGCCUACCAAGGCUUUGACGGGUAGCCGGCCUGAGAGGGUGACCGGUCACAUUGGGACUGAGAUACGGCCCAGACUCCUACGGGAGGCAGCAGUGGGGAAUAAUGCACAAUGGGCGCAAGCCUGAUGCAGCGACGCCGCGUGAGGGAUGGAGGCCUUCGGGUUGUGAACCUCUUUCGCUCAUGGUCAAGCCGCAACAAUGGUUGUGGUGAGGGUAGUGGGUAAAGAAGCGCCGGCUAACUACGUG
rnacentral:rRNA from 1 species